rnacentral:rRNA from 1 species
UGGCCCAGAUCGUUUACCGUGAAAAAAUUAGAGUGUUCAAAGCAGGCAGAUCCAAUUUUCUGCCACCGAAUACAUUAGCAUGGGAUAAUGGAAUAGGACCCUGUCCUCCUAUUUUCAGUUGGUUUUGGCAGCGCGAGGACUAGGGUAAUGAUUAAUAGGGAUAGUUGGGGGCAUUAAUAUUUAAUUGUCAGAGGUGAAAUUCUUGGAUUUAUGAAAGAUUAACUUCUGCGAAAGCAUCUGCCAAGGAUGUUUUCAUUAAUCAAGAACGAAAGUUAGGGGAUCGAAGACGAUCAGAUACCGUCGUAGUCUUAACCAUAAACGAUGCCGACCAGCGAUUAGGAGACGUUGAAUACAAAACACCACCAUCGGCGCGGUCGUCCUUGGCGUCGGUCUUUCGGGGCCGGCGCGGGGGCGGCUUAGCCCGGUGGCACCGGUGAAUGACUCCCCUAGCAGCUUGUGAGA